rnacentral:rRNA from 1 species
UACGAAGGGGGCUAGCGUUGCUCGGAAUCAUUGGGCGUAAAGCGCACGUAGGCGGAUUGUUAAGUCAGGGGUGAAAUCCUGGAGCUCAACUCCAGAACUGCCUUUGAUACUGGCGAUCUCGAGUCCGGGAGAGGUGAGUGGAACUGCGAGUGUAGAGGUGAAAUUCGUAGAUAUUCGCAAGAACACCAGUGGCGAAGGCGGCUCACUGGCCCGGUACUGACGCUGAGGUGCGAAAGCGUGGGGAGCAAACAGG